rnacentral:rRNA from 1 species
CUAAGGCGCCCGUACCGUAAACCGACACAGGUGGGUGAGGAGAGUAUCCUAAGGCCAGCGAGAGAACUAUUGUUAAGGAACUCGGCAAAAUGACCCCGUAACUUAGGGAGAAGGGGUGCCUGUCUAUGACAGGCCGCAGAGAGUAGGCCCAAGCGACUGUUUACCAAAAACACAGGUUUCUGCUAAGUCGCAAGACGAUGUAUAGGAGCUGACGCCUGCCCGGUGCUGGAAGGUUAAGGGGAUCUGUUAGAGCAAUCGAAGCAGUGAACUUAAGCCCCAGUAAACGGCGGCCGUAACAAUAACGGUCCUAAGGUAGCGAAAUUCCUUGUCGGGUAAGUUCCGACCCGCACGAAAGGCGUAACGAUUUGGGCACUGUCUCAACAGUAGACUCGGUGAAAUUGUAAUCCCGGUGAAGAUGCCGGGUACCUGCGACAGGACGGAAAGACCCCAUGGAGCUUUACUGUAGCUUGACGUUGGGUCUUGGUACUACAUGUACAGGAUAGGUGGGAGACUAUGAAGCAUGGACGCCAGUCUGUGUGGAGUCAUCCUUGGGAUACCACCCUUGUAGUACUGGGAUCCUAACCAUAGGCCUUGAAUCAGGUCUUGGAACACCGUCAGGUGGGCAGUUUGACUGGGGCGGUCGCCUCCUAAAAAGUAACGGAGGCGCUCAAAGGUUUCCUCAGCACGGUCGGAAAUCGUGCGAAGAGUGUAAAGGCAAAAGGAAGCUUGAUUGCAAGACAUACAGGUCGAGCAAGGACGAAAGUCGGACUUAGUGAUCCGGUGGUACCGCAUGGAAGGGCCAUCGCUCAACGGAUAAAAGCUACCCUGGGGAUAACAGGCUUAUCUCCCCCAAGAGUCCACAUCGACGGGGAGGUUUGGCACCUCGAUGUCGGCUCAUCACAUCCUGGGGCUGUAGUAGGUCCCAAGGGUUGGGCUGUUCGCCCAUUAAAGUGGUACGCGAGCUGGGUUCAGAACGUCGUGAGACAGUUCGGUCCCUAUCCGUCGCAGGCGUAGGAAAUUUGAGAAGACCUGUCCUUAGUACGAGAGGACCGGGAUGGACGUACCUCUGGUGUACCAGUUGUUCUGCCAAGGGCAUGGCUGGGUAGCUAUGUACGGAAUGGAUAAGCGCUGAAAGCAUCUAAGCGCGAAGCCAACUUCAAGAUAAGAUUUCCCACCGUAAGGGUAAGACCCCAGGAAGACUACCUGGUUGAUAGGUCGAAGGUGUAAGUGCAGUAAUGUAUUUAGCUUAUCGAUACUAAUAGGUCGAGGACUUGACCA